rnacentral:tRNA from 1 species
ACCUGGGUGGCUCAGUCAGUUGAGCGCCCGACUUCAUCUCAGGUCAUGGUCUUACAGCUUGGCUCGUGGGUUCAAGCCCCACAUCAGGCU